rnacentral:rRNA from 1 species
GACAGAGGUGCCAAGCGUUAGGCGGAAUCACUGGGCUUAAAGCGUGUGUAGGUGGAAGCGUAAGUACCUUGUGAAAUCCCACGGCUUAACCGUGGAACUGCUUGGUAUACUGCGUUCUUGAGCCAACUAGGGCUAUCGGAACAAGUGGUGGAGCGGUGAAAUGCGUAGAUAUCACUUGGAACGCCAAUGGUGAAACAGAUAGCUGGGUCGUGCUGACACUGAGACACGAAGCCAGGGAGCAAACGGG